UUCAGGUGGAGAAAAAAAUAAAUAUUUGGAAAAACUGUAAAUAUUAUGUUUGAAUUAUUCAUUCUCAUUGUAAAAGCACCAGUGCAUUUCGACUUCUUACCAUACAAGAACAUAUUUAUGAUUAUGGCCGUGAUCACGUGAUCAGGACCAGUAAAUGGAAGAGGGGGCAGACAUAGACUGCUAUUUAUCAAGAAUCGUUUCAACUUUCAUUCUUCGACCAGCAGAUGGCGCUAUAUAAACCUAAAUCACCAAUCAUCUAGUUAUCGCUGGCUAAAUUAAUAGCCAAAUGAGUGUUUUGCAAAGAAAAACAUAACAACCAAGAAACUAUACAUAACAGUAUACAUUUUUUUCAGGUGAACGUUAAUAUUUUGGAAGAGUGCCAAUGGGGUAUUUUUGCUGUCUAUUUUCUUUUCUAUUAGGCUACUUCCGCAUAAAAACAGAAAGUAAAAAAAAAACAAAUACCAGCUGGUAUUCCCAUUCAGUCUAUUUAAGCAGACGGUAAAUAUAUACUUUCAUGUUGUGUCUCUUCGCACAAAGAAGUGGAUUAAAUAUUGUGCUGGUCUCCAGUGUCACCAUCCGUGGAAGCUGUCCAGGAGGAUCUGAGCCAUGAACGAUCCAAAGUGUCCUAGUUGUCAUCAGUCUAAUGUGGGAGUUUUGAAUGGCCAGUGUGUGCUCUGCAAGUCUUGCUCCAAAUUGAAGAGGUCCGUGUUUCGGUUCUGCCUGGCAUGUCAGAGAGAGUGGCCAUGCGAAUCUCCGACCACGAGUUCCUGUAUGCUUCCAAACUGUGCGCUCAGUGCUGCACCCCUCAGCAACACAAAAAUCACUGACCCACACAGCUCGGCGAGAGGGUGUCCCUAUUUCAGAGCCUGUCCAGGGUGCAAGGCCCUGCUUACACACAAUGUAAAAGGCUGUCCCAACAUCAUCUGCCCUCACUGUUGCACAUCCUUCUGUUUCCGCUGCCCAUGUCAAAGGUGCCUUGGGCUGGGGAAUAUUGAAGACCUUGGGAUUCUUACCGAUAGAUUGUCCCGCUUUCAAGAUUAUGAUAUAACUCCAUGUAGAGUUGUGGACAACAAACAGAGUCUCACAGUUUUUGGACUGUAAUGAGAAAGUUUUGAACAUAUGAUCUGUUAAAUAGCAUAAUGCUAAAAACAGUUAAAGCUAUAGCUAUAAAAGCUAUAUGUGAUUUAUAUAGGAAUAACUGUUAAGCAUGCUAUUGAAAAUACUGUUAUUCUUGUAUAUGUUUAGAAAAGGUAAGUCU